UGAAUUCAGCGCAUUUUCCAAUCCGCAGGGGCGCCGAUCAGAGCGAACAUCAGAGAGUACAAGAUUCAUCACGCCGCCUCCGCCUGUCAGAAUAACGGCCACUAAAGUCAUCCUUUCAAAGUCAGCCUUCAGCUAAAACAAUGAAGGAGGGCAAAGCAAAUUCAGACACCCAAUGAAAAGACCAUCUUUGACGCCUCGAACAAUGGAUGGUCUUGUUUGAUGUGCAGUCACAUUUACCAGCAUUUUCAUGUGCCCGGCUUUCAGCUGUUUAGAGCACAUCACAACGCAGAAUCAACGGGGAAAUCGCGCUGCGGCAGGACAUGUUUUUACAUCAACGAAAGGUGGUGUACAGAUGUAACAAUGUUAAAGAAGAUGUGCUGUAAAACCGCAUUUUUCCAUCUCAAAAAUAUAUCUAAAUUACAGCCUAUGGUCUCAAUGUCAAACGCAGAAAUGUUAAUCCAUGGGUUUAUGACCUCAAGGUUAGAUUAGUGUAAUGCUUUAUUGG
ensembl:lncRNA